UAGGGAAUUUUCGGCAAUGGGGGAAACCCUGACCGAGCAACGCCGCGUGAGUGAAGACGGUCUUCGGAUUGUAAAGCUCUGUUGUAAGGGAAGAACGAUAUAGAUAGUAUCUGUAAGUGACGGUACCUUACCAGAAAGUCACGGCUAACUACGUGCCAGCAGCCGCGGUAAUACGUAGGUGACAAGCGUUAUCCGGAAUUAUUGGGCGUAAAGGGUGCGCAGGCGGCGAUUUAAGUCUAAGGUAAAAGGUUGGAGCUCAACUCCAUUAGGCCUUAGAAACUGGGUUGCUAGAGUGCAGGAGAGGGUAGUGGAAUUCCAUGUGUAGCGGUAAAAUGCGUAGAUAUAUGGAGGAACACCGGUGGCGAAGGCGGCUACCUGGCCUGUAACUGACGCUGAGGCACGAAAGCGUGGGGAGCAAAUAGG
rnacentral:rRNA from 1 species